GUUAUUUCAGGUGAUGGGGCUCACCUUAUAAAUGCCAACAGCUAAUGGCUCCUACUUUCAA
rfam:Desulfosporosinus sp. OL contig00005, whole genome shotgun sequence.